GGUUGGAGGAGGUACUCACUUGUUACUUAAUUCUACUGAUCCUAGGGUUAUUAGUGGUGUAGGGGCCAAUCAGAGCAGCGAAGGUAGUUCAAGCGACAUCGACAACAUCUCAUACGAGCUUAACGAAACUAUAGAAAUUGAUGCUUUAAUAAGUAGUGUCGUAAGAGGCGUAGGACUUCAGCUGAGGCCGCACGUGUCAAACCUUCUAGUGAGGAGGAAGGGAGUGGUUCUCAACUAGAGCACCGCCAGAAGAGAAAGGCUGAUUAUGGAGACCUUAUUGCUACAGUUACCCCCAUUCGUUCUUCCCUUUUCGC
rnacentral:lncRNA from 1 species